rnacentral:rRNA from 1 species
CCUACGGGUGGCUGCAGUGGGGAAUAUUGCACAAUGGGGGAAACCCUGAUGCAGCGACGCCGCGUGAGUGAUGAAGUAUUUCGGUAUGUAAAGCUCUAUCAGCAGGGAAGAAAAUGACGGUACCUGACUAAGAAGCCCCGGCUAACUACGUGCCAGCAGCCGCGGUAAUACGUAGGGGGCAAGCGUUAUCCGGAUUUACUGGGUGUAAAGGGAGCGUAGACGGCAGGGCAAGCCUGAAGUGAAAGGCCGGGGCUCAACCCCCGGACUGCACUGGAAACUGUAAGGCUGGAGUGCAGGAGAGGUAAGCGGAAUUCCUAGUGUAGCGGUGAAAUGCGUAGAUAUUAGGAGGAACACCAGUGGCGAAGGCGGCCUGCUGGACUGUGACUGACGUUGAGGCUCGAAAGCGUGGGGAGCAAACAGGAUUAGAUACCCGUGUAGUC